GAGGUUUGUUUUUUUUCUUCGCUAGAUAUGCUCAGUUUUUUUUAUUCGGAGGUGGUGUCAUGCUUUGCUUUGAGUACGAGUGAAAUUUCCACGAUGAUCAACACCUGCGAUUUGGAACGCACUUUGAAGAUUCAAAGCAAAAUCCAGAUGAGUCGGAGCUACUAUAAGGGCUAGUGACAAGAUUCUAUCAUUGAUUCUAUUGAAUCUCUUCCCUAGAUUAAACUCUAGCAAUUGGAGAAGAAGACCUUGAGAUCGACGGAGAUUGAAGGCAAGAAGAACAUGCUAGCAGCCUCAAGCAAGUUCGAGAUGAAGAUCGGCAAGUUCUCCAACGAGUUUUUCGGCACCACCUACUUCCUUUGCGGACUGGAAGAGAUGAAGCCACGAGUUGACCAUGUGUCAUCAUGCACUUCAUUAUUAUCUUAAGUUAUGGUUUCAUUUGGGCCAAAUUGUUUUGGGUAAAUCACAUGUUUACCACUUUCAUGCUAUCACUUUUCAUUUUUACCAUCACCAAAGGGACAUUUUCAAAAAUACAUUCUUCGUUAAAUGACAAAAGACUCUUAUGCCCUUGUUCUUUAUAUAUAUAAUAAAUAAAUAUUUAAAUAAAUAAAAAUCCAGAAAAAUAAAAAAUAAUUUUUUUAAUUUUUUUCGAAUUAUACUGAAAUUCAAACCCUAAACCCUAAAACUCAACUCUAAACCCUAAACCAUCAAUCCUAAACCCUAUUUUUUUUAAAUACGAACCCUAAACCC
rnacentral:lncRNA from 1 species